GUAGGGGAUGCACCAGCCUCAGCUUCAGUCUGUCAUCUCUGUUGAAGUACACACAGCCUGAGGCUGCUCAGAGCCACAAUUCAUACUAGCUUGAACAGAUUGCAGAGGACCACUGAGGACUGAUGUGGUAUUUGGAAUGGUUCCUUUUAAACUCUUUUCCAAGCUCCAUCACAAAAGAUCUGAAGACAAAUUGCACCCUCUCCUGCAGUUAGAGAACACCAUUUUCUUCUACUAUUGGCCUCAGCAUGUCAUAAGCUACAGUCUUGUUUCUGCUGUGUAACUGAAUGGCUUCAUAAAUUACAAUUUAGAUACAAUUCUACUGAUAAUACAGGUACCAGAAGAAAUAGGGCUUAACAAAACCCUUUCAGAAUGUGAGUUACCAGCAAUAAAAAAGCUGA